rnacentral:tRNA from 1 species
GGGGUCACUUUGCCAAGUACCCUGACUCUGGAUCAGGAGAUCGGAGGUUCGACCCCUCCCGCCCCA